CUGGCGAGGAAUUUGCUGCGAAGCCCAGACUUACUAGGUCAUCUGGCAGAAGGCUUAAUCCUUACUCGGAUGAGUUAAAAGGCCCAUUCUCGGACGGAAGAGGGAACCUAUGCAAGGAUAAGGAAGAAUCUUCUUUUGAUGGUAUACCGCAUUUUGAGUAUUUUCCCUACCAUGUUUUGGCAAAGUACAACACAAAAUCGUCAAUAUGACUUACCUAUGUAUCCUCGAACGAAGGCGUACAUAACCAAAAGCGUCGCGUAACAGGUAACGCACGGCCGCCGCCCUAACGACCACUUGUCGCUGGAUGAGACAAUGAACUGCUGCAGGUAUCGGGAGAAGAUCCAUCAAAGUCUAAUACUCCAGCAACCGAGAAGAGUGCCUUUGUCAUCAGUGUCAUCUAUAAUAUAAAAAAUGAAUCGCAGAAUGUGUAGGUAAGCGCAUAACUAUACAAAGCCUGAACCAAUUGUA